GAUGAACGCUGACAGAAUGCUUAACACAUGCAAGUCUUUGGCGAAGCUGUGCUUGCACAGCCUAGCCAGGGCGGACGGGUGAGUAACGCGUAAGGAACUUGCCCUGCAGUCAGGGAUAACAGACGGAAACGACUGAUAAGACCUGGUAAAGUCAGGCGGACUCAUGUCCAGCCUGAUGAAAAGAGAUGCUGCAGGAGAGCCUUGCGUCCUAUUAGCUUGUUGGUGGGGUAACGGCCCACCAAGGCGAUGAUAGGUAGCCGGCCUGAGAGGGUGGACGGCCACAAGGGGACUGAGAUACGGCCCUUACUCCUACGGGAGGCAGCAGUGGGGAAUAUUGGACAAUGGGGGCAACCCUGAUCCAGCAAUUCUGUGUGCACGAUGAAGGUUUUCGGAUUGUAAAGUGCUUUCAGCAGGGAAGAAAAAAUGACGGUACCUGCAGAAGAAGCGACGGCUAAAUACGUG
rnacentral:rRNA from 1 species